UUAUAGAGAAUUAUAUAUUCCGCUUUAAAAAAAUCAUGUAGCUUAAUUUUAAUUUUAAACGGUUAGUGAUUGCUUUCAAGGGAAAUAAAAUGUAAAACAUUUAAAAAGUUCUAAAAGGAGUAAGCAUUUUGAAAGAUUAAAUUAUAUGCACUUUUUACAUUCGAGAGAAAUUUACGUGCAUUAUUAAAAUGGGAAUACGGUAACACUGUUUCGUUUACUUUUUAUGUUUAUUCCCCCUCUCUAUAAGCACGCAUGCUCUGUGUAAAACUUUGCCACUCGUAAAAUCUCAGUUGGAUUUUAUAUUUUCUUUUCGUCUCUUUUGGGUUUAAUUGAAUUUUAACUGUUGUCGACUACACUUCGUGUAGUUCGCGGCCUCUUAAUUGGUGUUCGUGUGUGCUUUUCUGAGUGUGCGAUUUAAAAUUUGUGUAUAAACGAUUUUUUGGUGUGCAUUGACAUACGCAUAGAAAAAAAGAAGAGGAUUUUUAAUUUGGAAAAAAUCAACACAAACGUAAACAUAUAGAAAUUUGCGUUUCGAAAUCUGCUUUAAGCAAUAUAUGAAAACGGAAAAGAAUUUAAUGAGCAUAAAGAAAUUCGUAAAUAUUUUUAAAAUUUAAAUUUUUAACACGAACAACAAGGAAAUAUAUGUUAAAUUUAAAACUCUGCAAAAGCUAAACAAGCUGCCUGAAGCCGCCUUGCAUAUACAUUUUCAUAAAAUUAAGCAAAAGCGAGACAGCUUCAUCAAUUCUCUAUUUCGCAAACG